GUCUUCGUGGUGUAACGUCGCACACUCGGCUUGUAUUCGAGAGAUCCAGGUUCGAAUUCCGACGAGGGCA
rnacentral:tRNA from 1 species